CCUACGGGGGGCUGCAGUGGGGAAUAUUGGACAAUGGGCGAAAGCCUGAUCCAGCCAUGCCGCGUGUGUGAAGAAGGCCUUCGGGUUGUAAAGCACUUUCAGUGGGGAAGAAAGCCUUGGGGCUAAUACCCUCGAGGAAGGACAUCACCCACAGAAGAAGCACCGGCUAACUCCGUGCCAGCAGCCGCGGUAAUACGGAGGGUGCGAGCGUUAAUCGGAAUUACUGGGCGUAAAGCGCGCGUAGGCGGUCUGAUAAGCCGGUUGUGAAAGCCCCGGGCUCAACCUGGGAACGGCAUCCGGAACUGUCAGGCUAGAGUGCAGGAGGGGAAGGUAGAAUUCCCGGUGUAGCGGUGAAAUGCGUAGAGAUCGGGAGGAAUACCAGUGGCGAAGGCGGCCUUCUGGACUGACACUGACGCUGAGGUGCGAAAGCGUGGGUAGCAAACAGGAUUAGAUACCCUAGUAGUC
rnacentral:rRNA from 1 species